ensembl:lncRNA
UGCUUGGCCCCAGUGUGCUCAUCCCCAUACCAUGCCAGCCUUGCAGAUUAAAUGUUUGAGGGAUAGCACAGUGCCUCCAAUCCUGCUUGCACAAGGAAAUCAAAGCCAUAUCUACCAGCUGGGACAGUAUCCAUAACAGGAGUAUGGACUCUUCCCUCCUUCCGUCCCUUAUGACCCUGGUCUCCCUGUUUCAUAUACAAAGGCAGCAGCUGGAGAGUGCUUGAGCAUGCUGUAAUGAGCACAAGUGAGAAACUUCCAAAGGCGGUGGUGCAUCCAUGGGUAUGGAGGGGUGGAAGAUGCUCAAUGGACUCUCAGAGGAGAAUAAUCUCGUGUUCCGCUGUGGCAAAAAAUAAAAUGUCCAUUCCAACUUGGGCUACUCUGUGGUUCUUUGACCGUGAGGUGGCUCUCAGAAUGGAGAAUGCUCAUUGGAAGACCAGGGGAGAGCAGGCCUCAGUGACACUAAGAGGUGGCUUCUUACAGUGAGACAAUGGUGUUGGGGAGGAAGGCCCUUCACCUCCAGGAGGGUCAGAGCAGCUGCCUCUCAAGGUGGC